ACCCACACCGACUCCGGUUCACAGUCUGACGCUGGCUACCCUCAGUACCUCAUCGCUCUCUCUGUGUCCAUCACAGCUGUCGUCUGUGUGGGGCUCAUUGCUGCGAUCAUCUGUUCACACAGAGGACGAUACAGAGGUGUGUCCACCACAGACACAGCAGAGAAUCCCACCAAAACCGCUCCCUCGAUGACAGAGCUACAGGCCAUUUAGAAUGGGCGCUGGGAGACCCACCCCACUUUGUUGGGAAGCACGGACUGGAGGUACACCAAGUCAGGAAGAGCAGGUGAUGCACCCCGGUGCUGAAUAGCAGCUGGACCUGACAAGGAACACAAGCCUCACACCCAGCAUCAGAGAACUCUGGAACAUCAAAGAAAGAGUUGGGCGUCAUGGAAUUGCCGGAUUAGGCUUGAGGCAUUGGGAAGUCAGGAGUGGAUGGAGAAGGAACUGAGGGAAGAGACACUUUGCAUUUCUGUAGCGACUUUUACCAUCCCACAAUGCUUCACAGCUAGUUUUUAUUCAGAAUGAGGCCAUCCACUGCCAUGGAGAGGAUGAGGGGAUGUUGAUUUGUACACAGCAAGAUCCCAUGACAAGGCAAUGUGACUCUGAUCAUCUGACAUGCUGACAUCCAAUAAACUCAGGGACACUUUGCUCCACUGAUCAAAUCUCCAGAUCUCUGGGGAUUCCCUCGGUGGAUUCCCACUGAGGAUCUGGAACUGAAAGUUGGAGUGAUAUUGGGAUAUGGUCAUUGAUAUGCAAAUCUAUCUGUGGUUGGCCAUUGUAGUCAACAGAAAUGUCAUACAAGAGUUGACCUAACAAUAUGUGAAUGAAAUAUACUUUGUAAGUAAUAUUUGUGCAGUUUUGUAAAUGGGAAGAAAUGGUGUAUAAAUAUCUAA